UACGAAGGGGGCUAGCGUUGUUCGGAAUUACUGGGCGUAAAGCGCGCGCAGGCGGUCUUCCAAGUCAGUGGUGAAAGCCCGGAGCUCAACUCCGGAACUGCCAUUGAAACUGUUAGACUUGAGUACGAGAGAGGUGAGUGGAAUUCCCAGUGUAGAGGUGAAAUUCGUAGAUAUUGGGAAGAACACCGGUGGCGAAGGCGGCUCACUGGCUCGUAACUGACGCUCAGGCGCGACAGCGUGGGGAUCAAACAGG
rnacentral:rRNA from 1 species